AUACCUAGCUGCCCAUGGUAUUUAAUACCAACUGAUGGAACUUACCUCCUUGGUAAUUUUAGAGAAAUGUUCCCAGUAAUAAAGGCUGAUGACUAAGCUUGCAGUGUGACCCUACAGUGGGUCUUCAUGGGUCAAAUCUUACUUCUGAGAGGGUGGAACACUCCGCUGGUCUCCACGGACAACUGCUAGAAAGCUCAGAGAAAAGAGCGGCUGUUUUAAUCGGGUGAAUCCUCUCAUGUGGUAAAAGUGACGUUGCUAUGGAAACCAUAUCUGCCAGGAGAGGUGACACCAGCCUGCACGCUGCCGGAGAGGGAAGCGACGAUGGGAUGGCUCAGCCACUUGGCACAGCCCCGACCUCACAGCGAGAGCUCAGCCCAGUGUUGCAUCUUUAUUAAAAGGAACUGCCUAGAAGGAUGCUUCUCAUUUCAGUUUACGCAAGCACACCAUGUCUGGCUGAUGUCUGUGGCACUGGAGGAUGGGUUUGCCAGGACCCGGCUUUCCUUGGGGGCACCGCUGGAGCCCUGA
rnacentral:lncRNA from 1 species